GACGAACGCUGGCGGCGUGCUUAACACAUGCAAGUCGAACGGAACGGCCUUGCUUUUGUGUGGUGCUCGUGUGGCGAACGGGUGUGUAUCACGUGCGUAACCUGCCCUUGACUUUGGGAUGCCUUCAGGAAACUGGGGCUACUACCGGAUAGGAGCUCAUACUGCAUGGUGAGGGUUGGAAAGUUUCGGCGGUUGGGGAUGUACUCGCGGCUUAUCAGCUUGUUGGUGGGGUAGUGGCUUACCAAGGCUUUGACGGGUAGCCGGCCUGAGAGGGUGACCGGCGACAGUGGGACUGAGAGACGGCCCAGACUCCUACGGGAGGCAGCAGUGGGGAAUAUUGCACAAUGGGCGGAAGCCUGAUGCAGCAACGCCGCGUGCGGGAUGACGGCCUUCGGGUUGUAAACCGCUUUCGCCUGUGACGAAGCGUGAGUGACGGUAAUGGGUAAAGAAGCACCGGCUAACUACGUG
rnacentral:rRNA from 1 species